rnacentral:rRNA from 1 species
ACGAACGCUGGCGGCGUGCCUAACACAUGCAAGUCGAGCGGAGACAGUGAGUAGCUUGCUAUGAGCUGUUUUAGCGGCGGACGGGUGAGUAACGCGUGAGCAACCUUUCCCAGACAGGGGAAUAACACACCGAAAGGUGUACUAAUACCGCAUAAGACCACGGAAUCACAUGGUUCUGAGGUAAAAGAUUUAUCGGUUUGGGGUGGGCUCGCGUCCGAUUAGGUAGUUGGUGAGGUAACGGCCCACCAAGCCGACGAUCGGUAGCCGACCUGAGAGGGUGAUCGGCCACAUUGGGACUGAGACACGGCCCAAACUCCUACGGGAGGCAGCAGUGGGGAAUAUUGGGCAAUGGGGGGAACCCUGACCCAGCAACGCCGCGUGGAGGAAGAAGGUUUUCGGAUCGUAAACUCCUGUCCUUGGAGACGAGUAGAAGACGGUAUCCAAGGAGGAAGCCCCGGCUAACUACGUGCCAGCAGCCGCGGUAAUACGUAGGGGGCAAGCGUUGUCCGGAAUAAUUGGGCGUAAAGGGCGCGUAGGCGGCUCGGUAAGUCUGGAGUGAAAGUCCUGCUUUUAAGGUGGGAAUUGCUUUGGAUACUGUCGGGCUUGAGUGCAGGAGAGGUUAGUGGAAUUCCCAGUGUAGCGGUGAAAUGCGUAGAGAUUGGGAGGAACACCAGUGGCGAAGGCGACUAACUGGACUGUAACUGACGCUGAGGCGCGAAAGUGUGGGGAGCAAACAGGAUUAGAUACCCUGGUAGUCCACACUGUAAACGAUGAAUGCUAGGUGUAGGGGGUAUCGACCCCUUCUGUGCCGCAGUCAACACAAUAAGCAUUCCGCCUGGGGAGUACGGCCGCAAGGUUGAAACUCAAAGGAAUUGACGGGGGCCCGCACAAGCAGCGGAGCAUGUGGUUUAAUUCGAAGCAACGCGAAGAACCUUACCAGGUCUUGACAUCGAGUGACGAACAUAGAGAUAUGUUUUUCCUUCGGGACACGAAGACAGGUGGUGCAUGGUUGUCGUCAGCUCGUGUCGUGAGAUGUUGGGUUAAGUCCCGCAACGAGCGCAACCCUUGCUAUUAGUUGCUACGCAAGAGCACUCUAAUAGGACUGCCGUUGACAAAACGGAGGAAGGUGGGGACGACGUCAAAUCAUCAUGCCCCUUAUGACCUGGGCUACACACGUGCUACAAUGGCCACGACAGAGAGAAGCGAAAUCGCAAGGUAGAGCGGAACUCAAAAAAGUGGUCCCAGUUCGGAUUGUGGGCUGCAACCCGCCCACAUGAAGUCGGAGUUGCUAGUAAUCGCGGAUCAGCAUGCCGCGGUGAAUACGUUCCCGGGCCUUGUACACACCGCCCGUCACACCAUGGGAGUUGGGAGUGCCCAAAGCCGGUGAGGCAACCGCAAGGAGCCAGCCGUCUAAGGCAAGACCAAUGACUGGGGUG